AUUUAUUCUUGCAAUUCUAAGCUCGAACAGCAAGAUUUUUUCGAGAAAAUUGUUUUCAAAUAGAACUAUAUUAUUUGGAUCUCCUUCAAGUUUUGAAAGUAAUAAUUCAGGACCAGUGCCCAAGCAACGUGGGCGGUUAGUCCAGAGUGGAUGCUGCGAGUCCGCAAAGGGUUGGUUCGAUCAAAUUCGAAGUUGGUCAAAGUGGCGUGGACUGGUCCGAGUCCCUCGAGCGAUCUACUGUGAUCUUCUGUAUCGCUUUCCAUCGUCGUAAAUCAUCGCCAGUAUCUGCGCACGUCGAUAAGUCGCCAGUGACGGCUGCACACUCCACGCAUCUAGGGGACGUCUAUACCCCGAAAAAGACGCCGGCGCGCGCAUCGCGAGACGACGCCAAAGUAGCGUUAGAGCUCGAGUCCAAAGCUUCGAGAACGACCAACCGAAUGCACGAUAUUUUGACAAUCGUACCUGAAUCCAAAUCUCCAUCCAGUUAAGUCACUGCGUGGGAUUCCCAAGCGAGGACGCAGAA